ensembl:lncRNA
GGACAACAAUGGAAAUUACACUCUGGUUUACUGGGAACUCCUGGCUGUAAGGUUAGGCUUCAUCAUCGCUUUCGAGCUUGUAGUGUUUUUCUUCCUGUAAGCGAUAGACUGGAUGGUGCCAGAUGUCUCUGAGUCUCUGGAGCUGAAGAUGAAGAGAGAGCGCUACUUGGCUAAGCAGGCCCUGGCUGACAAUCAGGAUGCCCUGUUGGUGAGUCAGCGUGCCCCGGCCUCCAGCCCAGCACAAGACUGGUGCUUGCUGGCCCAUUGUUUCUCGUUGUGGUCCUUUAAAUGGUGUGGUGGUGGGUGUGCGUCCCCGUGUUCUGACCAUGCCAUUGUGGGAGUUCUGUUUCUUGUCGUGAAUGUCCUGGAUGGGCAAGCGACGCGUCCUUUGGCAACAUGAGUUAGGACUGCAGUGCAUAACUUCUUUUCCAGGAGAAGCGGAAUGGAUGGGGAGGUGAAGGGAGGAGAGGUAGAGUGAGAUAAAAGAGACUCUUUUGCAUUUCAGGUCCCAUCAAUUAAUUUGUUUCCCUGAUGGCUCUCUGUCUAUCCACUAUGGUCAGUUUUUAGGUUUGUUUACAGCAGGGGUGGCCAAACGUAUCUGCAAAGGACCGGUGUGGUUGCAGGUGUUUGUUCCAGCCAAGUGGUAACACACCUGAUUCAAAUGAUCAAUUUGUCAUAGUCUUUCAUUAAGACUUUGAUUAGUUGAAUUAGAUGUGUUACUACACAGACCUUUUGCAGGUAAUAUUGUGGUUUGCACCUGGUUUACAAUAUGUGAGAGUUGGUUUGUAUUGUUACAUUUUUGUUGCUUUUCUAUGAGCUAAUGACUUGAUUUCUGUCCUUCAACUAUGAUGAUUUGUGAUGUUCUCACUUUGUUAAAUGGAUGAGCUUGUAAUGUAUAUACACAUAGGUAUAUUUACAUAUGUGAAACUGGUCCCGCUUUUCUACACUAUCACUCUAUAUUUGUAAUGAGAUAGACCUGAAACAUAUUGGGAAUCUUGUUGCUUAUCUUGUUGGUACUGUACUAUACGAUUGAAGUCUUUCUACAAGUGUAACACGUUUUGCGCAAGCUGUUUUGCAUUUCAAAUUUUGGAAAAUAACUCUGGUUGGAUGAAUGAGAUACAGAACCAAUAAGGUGUCAAUCUGAAAUAAAUUCAAGUUCAAGAUGCCAGAGAACUUUGCUGUUAUCUUACCAAAAAAUCUGCUCCCCUUUCCUCCCCACGCCCUCAGAAACGUAAACUCCCCUCAGAAAAGAAGAACUCCAGACAGAUGAAAUCCCUCUGAUUUAUUAGGAG